GUACGGGCAACCAACUUCAACUAGCUAAUAUGACUAAUCAAGAGCCUUCAUGCAGCACGUGGCAUCAGACAGCACCCAUGUACCUGCCAUCGACGUCAUACACAGGUUAUUACGGUGGUGGUAACCCGGCAAACGUCUCGUGGCAAGCUUCACAGAUUGCAGAUAGAGCACGUCAAUUUGGUGUCACAGACCACACAAAAUGGGCACAUGCAGCACAACAAGGUAAGGAAAAAAUUGAACCACAAAAGAGCACUACAUUUGUUUUUGUGGCAAAAAAUAGCACGUGACGAAGAAGAAGAUUUGUA